rnacentral:rRNA from 1 species
UAGGGAAUCUUCCACAAUGGACGCAAGUCUGAUGGAGCAACGCCGCGUGAGUGAAGAAGGUCUUCGGCUCGUAAAGCUCUGUUGUUAAAGAAGAACACGUAUGAGAGUAACUGUUCAUACGUUGACGGUAUUUAACCAGAAAGUCACGGCUAACUACGUGCCAG